GAGGGUAUAGCUAAGAGGUAGAGUAUUCACCUAGCAUGCACAGGGUCCUGGGUUCAAUCCCCAGUAUCUCCA
rnacentral:tRNA from 1 species